rnacentral:rRNA from 1 species
UACGGAGGUGGCUAGCGUUACUCGGAAUUAUUGGGUGUAAAGGGCAAGUAGGCGGCCUGUUAAGUGGGUGGUGAAAUACUUCGGCUCAAUCGGAGAACAGCCUUCCAAACUAGCAGGCUUGAGUAUACCAGAGGAAAAGGGAAUUCUAGGUGUAAGGGUGAAAUCUGUAGAUAUCUAGAAGAACACCAGCGGCGAAGGCGCUUUUCUGGGGUAUUACUGACGCUAAAUUGCGAAAGCUAGGGGAGCAAACAGA